rnacentral:rRNA from 1 species
UAGUCCACGCUGUAAACGAUGAGAACUAGCUGUUGGGUAUUAAUAUUUAGUGGCGCAGUUAACGCGAUAAGUUCUCCGCCUGGGGAGUGCGGCCGCAAGGUUAAAACUCAAAUGAAUUGACGGGGGCCCGCACAAGCGGUGGAGCAGGUGGUUUAAUUCGAAGUAACGCGCAGAACCUUACCAGCCUUUGACAUCCUAGGACGGUUUCUGGAGACAGACUCCUUCCCUUCGGGGACCUAGUGACAGGUGCUGCAUGGCUGUCGUCAGCUCGUGUCGUGAGAUGUUGGGUUAAGUCCCGCAACGAGCGCAACCCUCAUCCUUAGUUGCCAUCAUUUAGUUGGGCACUUUAAGGAAACUGCCGGUGAUAAGCCGGAGGAAGGUGGGGAUGACGUCAAGUCCUCAUGGCCCUUACAGGCUGGGCUACACACGUGCUACAAUGGUAUCUACAGUGAGCAGCGAUCCCGCAAGGGUUAGCUAAUCCCCAAAAGAUAUCUCAGUUCGGAUUGUUCU